GACGAACGCUGGCGGCGUGCUUAACACAUGCAAGUCGAACGGAAAGGCCCUGCUUUUGUGGGGUGCUCGAGUGGCGAACGGGUGAGUAACACGUGAGUAACCUGCCCUUGACUUUGGGAUAACUUUAGGAAACUGGGGCUAAUACCGGAUAGGAGCUCCUGCUGCAUGGUGUGGGUUGGAGAGUUUCGGCGGUGGGGGAUGGUCUCGCGGCUUAUCAGCUUGUUGGUGGAGUAGUGGCUUACCAAGGCUUCGACGGGUAGCCGCCCUGAGAGGGUGACCGGCGACAUUGGGACUACGAUACGGCCCAGACUCCUACGGGAGGCAACAGUGGGGAAUAUGGCACAAUAGCCCGAAGCGUGAAGCAGCAACCCUGCGUGCGGGAUGACGGGCUUCGGGUUGAAAACCGCUGUCGCCUGUAACGAGGAGUGAGUGACGGUAACUGGUAAAGAAGCACCGGCUAACUACGUG
rnacentral:rRNA from 1 species